rnacentral:lncRNA from 1 species
UCCGCUCAUACUUGAAGCAAUGCGUUUUGUCGGGGACGCGGCGGGGGUCCGCCCCGGUGGGAUCCACCGCUGAGACGACGCAGUUCUGCUCCUCAAGGGCGAGGACCCAGCCUUCCAUCGCCCCUACCCGGUUUUCCUCAUCUUCCAGGUUUGUCGAGGGGCCUUCCAAAUUAUUUCCGGGAUUCGGUGGCCUUCUCGUGACUUCUUUUGGGUUGUCCCGGUAGGUGUCCUUCGGAGCUGGGUUGCUGCUCAGGAUUCCUGCAUCCGCUGCACAGUGCGGUGGCUUUGGUGAGGCUGAAUUCGAGCCUUAGCUCGACAUGCAGGUGCUACAGAGCGCUUUCACAAGGUACGCUACGACGCACCUGGCCCGGACUCUAGUUCUGUUGUUCUUCUCUUCGCCCAACGCUGUGUAUCAACUUCGGACAUCGUUUCCAAAGCUUUUAGCUGGGAGGUUCCUAUCGCAUUCUUACCUCGGGAUCGUCUGCAUCUUAUUUUGAGUGUUUGUUCCUUUUCUGCCACCAUUGCGGAUCAUUAGCCCCGUCUUCCCCAUUUGAUUUCCUAUUUGCGUUUUGAUUAUAGCAGGAGGCUUGAAUGAGUUGCUCUGUAGACUAUUUCGUUGUCAUAGUAUUCCCCCGAUACAGCCUACUUGUACAAGGAUGCCUGUUCAUUGAUGAAUUUCUGUCAUGUGAACUGUUCUUUCCUAUGCAGACGGCCCCUGGCCAGUGGCAGCAGUUGUGGAUGAAUUAAAAUAAAUGCGCCUUGCCAACUAUCGACCAAACAUAAAUUUUAACGAUAAUCGAGACUCCUUCACGUGAUUUCAUUAAAUUAUCUGAUGAAGGGUAGAAAGAAGUCAAUGUAGUGAACAUGAUGACCAUCUCAAGUGAAGACGUUAUGUUUCUUGUUGAACGCUUCAACUGGUCAUGUUAUUCUCCGCAUAUUUUUGCCAUGAACUUUUUCUUCAGGUGCUGACUUUUUACACCGUUGGAGACUUUUAUUUAGACCAUUUUCUAGCAAGAAUAAUUUUAAUUGUUUCGGACUUCCUCGAUUAUCUAACUCCAUUGCCGGGUGGAGGGACAGUCUUUUCUUAUAUCUUAAUGGCUGAGGUUCAUUAAAAGUAUACUUGAUUCGUGUAGUCAAUAGUAAGUGAGACGAGGUUCAGAAGCAAACUGUAUAGCUUCUAAUCCUAUGCUUAGGAUCCGCUUGUUUGGCAUGCCGGGGCAUUGUUAAUGGAAAAGACGAUUAUAGAGUCAUGAUUGGACUGUGAUUGUAUUAAACUAGUUCUGAUACACGCAAAUUAGAGCUUCCCUUGACCCGUUGCUGUUGGCCCUAUUCUAGACAAUUUUCGAUAUGGCUUCUAAUUAAUCGUCCAAGGCAGUUUCCAAUGAAUUGCCUAGAAACGCUGCUCAAUGAAAUUUCGGUUCCACGGAACCUCAAUCAUUGUUUACUGACAGUGAAUGGUGUCGCAGAAAAUGUCCAAAGUUGAUCUCUACUGAAUCUGCCUCGUUGGUUCAGCAAACUCAACCAAUUCAUAGUGUGGGGACGUUCUAGUACUGCUUAUUAAACUUGUAAAAGGAUAUCUGUCCAUUUGCACUUCUCAGCAAUCUAACCUCUCCACCUCCUAUGCAUAGGGCUCUUAUUGUGUGCACGAUGGUUUUAGAAGAAUUAAUUGAGUAGACUAUGAAGACUAUCGGACGAUGAUUUUAAACGAUAUUUUUAACAAUAAUCAUGAUCCCAUGCGGUUUCAUAUUUCACCGUCAAUCAAUUUCUUUUGCAUGGAGGGACAGUUUGAAAUCUAAUCAUAUUUAGAGAUGAUGAAUUAAUGCAGUAGGCUUGAUUCUUAGAAUGUUUUAUGGACACGUGCAUGACUUCCUGUCCUGUGAAAUUUUGUGUAGAUUAUAUCUUUGUCAUUUAGUUCUAAAAUUAUUUGUUAUCUCAAAAAAAAGUUUAUUUUUCUCUUCCUUGUACAGUAGUCAGGCAUUAGAAUUAUUUUGAUUGCGAUCUAGCCUUGACACAUGAUUCGCACUAGUUAGCUUUUCUCAUACUUUUUUUUACUAAAACAUGAGUUGCUGUCGGUCAUUUGCUCUACUUUUGGAUUUUACUAGUUUUAAAUAAGCUUUGGCCUAGUUCACACCUCCUAGAACAGUUGCUAACAUGAUUGGCCAAAGAUUUUCUUCUUCUUUUCCUUGCGCUAGGCAACUUUUUCCCACAUUUAGUAUUAGUGUAGAUAUUGGCUACUUUGUUAAAUUUUAUUUUCAUUUUUUGAAAAUAAUUUUCUACAAGGUUAAGGGGUCUUAGUUACAUAUAAUGAGCUUUCUUCUUUAUCACCAUAAACAUAAGGUAUUUGGUUGCUGCAGGCACAUGAUUUUUCAAUGCUUGGAAUGAGUAGACUGUGGACUUACGUAUCUACCAGUCAUGCCCUUAGCUUCACAAGUAUGAGCACUCUAUCAAUAUCGCAUAAGCUAGUUUAUUGUCUUUUCCGAGUGGCAAUCAAGUCUUGUUAAAUUGUGCCAUUUAUUGAAUAAUGCAUCAUCGAUACCGUUGUUCGUCUUUUGAAAAUGAGUUGUACCGUAUGCUUGAAAGCCAGUCACAAAGUUCUGGAGACAUAGGCUGCCUUCUUUCUGAUUUAGUUUCAUUCUCUCUUCCCUUCUCUGUGUGGUGUCAAGUGCUUAGAUUUCAUGUCUUUUUUUUUUUUAUUAAGUUAUCAUCCUAUUAUUUCUCUAAUAAUAGGCGUGGUUUGUGAAAAAGCAAUCCAUUCUUUUGAAUUAUUUAGAAACCAAAUAUGACAAUUUCGAUGCUGAAAAGCUCCUGACUUCAAAUCACUAGUCAUUAAAAAUACAGUAAUGUUCGCCUUUGUUGGUUGACUUCUCUGAUUUUACUUAUUUUUUUUAUCUCUAUAUGUUCUUCUAUCUUCAUUUUCCCAAUGUCAAUCAAUUCCCUUCCUUCCCUUCAUUUAUUGUCAACGUGAUUCCAUCCUCUUAUGGAAAUUUUGGUCUCCAAGCCAGCUGUUCUCUCCAUCCCAGUCGGUCCUGCUUAAUGGCCCAUGUUCAUCCCUCUCAUUUAUUCUUACAUACCAUCGUGUCCGCAACAUUGAACCAGAAAUUUGGCUAGAAAAAAUUUAUUCGCCAUUAUAAUCCGUCAACUAUGCUUCAUGCUGCCCAAUACUUAGCCUGGCUAUUCACGCAGUCGAAUCAAACUCAGGCAUCAUUUGGCUUCUGUACUCCAUAAAAUGUGAGCGACUUUAUUAUAUUUCCAGGGCUAUUAUAUUAUCCAUGGGUCCCUAGAGUAUUUUAUUCUUGAUUCAAUAUUCCGAUCAUUUUCGGUUUGACUAGAAAAAAGUGACCCAAUCAGUCAGUUCCUCAUACGAACCGAGUCCCGGCAUUUUCGCCUCUUUGUGCUUGUUUAUUUAUGCCAUUUAUUGUUAACGAUGUUCUAUUUUUCCCAGAUGGAACCGACGGCACGUGACGCAUUUGGCCCCACCCUUCUGCUGCUCGACGCGACUCCUUCGCCGUUGACUUGCUCCAUGGAUGCCCUCGCCUGAACUCAUCACCCACAUCCCAUCUUUCCCUACGAUCGGUCCUCUCACCUCUCGGCGCCCGCCCAAGUCAACCCAGUUCCGAUGCGAAAUCUGCGCCCAGUGAAUGUUCCUGCAGUCGCCUUAUAUUUCUUCUCUUUAUAGGAACCGUUCCUCUCAUUGCUUGGAUCGAGACAUCCCGAUUGGAUGUAAUAAUAUCUCUUGGGCAUAGACAUCGCAGCGUUCGGCCAAGCUCCAUUGAUUUCUCUCAGAUAUUCGAGUGCCCGCAGGCCUGCUCGUGAAUGGAUCAAGAUGGGCCCUUCCCCUGGCG